rnacentral:lncRNA from 1 species
GGUUUUUAGUGAUCUCUUUAAAAAGAGGUACGUUGUUGUUCAUUAAUAUUGUUUUUUUAAAGAUAGAUUUUGGUUUUUAGUGAUCUCUUUACAAAUAGGUACGUUGUUGGUCAUUAGUUUUUAACUUUUACUUUGGUAUUUAUUUAUACCUAUUAAUAGGUCUUUCUUGUCUAUGUUUUUUUAACAUGUAUUUUGGUUUUCAGUGAUCUCUUUUAAAAAGAGGUACGUUGUUGGUCAUUAAUAUUUAACUUUUUCUUGGUGUUUAUUUAAACCUAUUAAUAGGUCUUUCUUGUCUCUGUUUUUUUAAACAUGUAUUUUGGUUUUAGUGAUCUCUUUAAAAAGAGGUACGUUGUUGUUCAUUAAUAUUGUUUUUUUUAAAGAUAGAUUUUGGUUUUUAGUGAUCUCUUUACAAAUAGGUACGUUGUUGGUCAUUAGUUUUUUAACUUUUACUUUGGUAUUUAUUUAUACCUAUUAAUAGGUCUUUCUUGUCUAUGUUUUUUUAACAUGUAUUUUGGUUUUCAGUGAUCUCUUUAAAAAGAGGUACGUUAUUGGUCUUUAAUAUUUAACUUUUUCCUUGGUGUUUAUUUAAACCUAUUAAUAGGUCUUUCUUGUCUCUGUUUUUUUAAACAUGUAUUUUGGUUUUUAGUGAUCUCUUUAAAAAGGGUACGUUGUUG